GGGGAAUUUUGGACAAUGGGCGCAAGCCUGAUCCAGCCAUGCCGCGUGUCUGAAGAAGGCCUUCGGGUUGUAAAGGACUUUUGUCAGGGAAGAAAAGGGCGGGGUUAAUACCCCUGUCUGAUGACGGUACCUGAAGAAUAAGCACCGGCUAACUACGUGCCAGCAGCCGCGGUAAUACGUAGGGUGCGAGCGUUAAUCGGAAUUACUGGGCGUAAAGCGGGCGCAGACGGUUACUUAAGCAGGAUGUGAAAUCCCCGGGCUCAACCUGGGAACUGCGUUCUGAACUGGGUGACUAGAGUGUGUCAGAGGGAGGUAGAAUUCCACGUGUAGCAGUGAAAUGCGUAGAGAUGUGGAGGAAUACCGAUGGCGAAGGCAGCCUCCUGGAAUAACACUGACGUUCAUGCCCGAAAGCGUGGGUAGCAAACAGGAUUAGAUACCCUGGUAGUCCACGCCCUAAACGAUGUCGAUUAGCUGUUGGGCAGCAUGACUGCUUAGUAGCGAAGCUAACGCGUGAAAUCGACCGCCUGGGGAGUACGGUCGCAAGAUUA
rnacentral:rRNA from 1 species